GAUGAAGAACGUAGCAAAAUGCGAUACUUGGUGUGAAUUGCAGAAUCCCGUGAACCAUCGAGUUUUUGAACGCAAGUUGCGCCCGAAGCCUUUUGGCCGAGGGCACGUCUGCCUGGGCGUCACGCAUCGCGUCGCCCCCCACAAUUCUCCGUAAAGGGAACAUGUGUUUUGGGGGCGGAUAUUGGUCUCCCGUGCUCAUGGCGUGGUUGGCCGAAAUAGGAGUCCUUUCGAUGGACGCACGAACUAGUGGUGGUCGUAAAAACCCUCGUCUUUUGUUUCGUGCUGUUGGUCGCAAGGUAAACUCUUUAAAAACCCCAAUGUGUCGUCUCUUGACGGCGCUUCGACCGCGACCCCAGGUCAGGCGGGACUACCCGCUGAGUUUAAGCAUAUCAAUAAGCGGAGGA
rnacentral:misc_RNA from 1 species